rnacentral:lncRNA from 1 species
UUUUAUGUUAUUUUUUAUGAUCUAUUUGGGCUUGGGCUUGUUUUAUGUCAUUUUUAUGCCUUAUUUAAAGGCCAGAACGUCUUAGGGUUUGUAUCUUUUCAUGGCUUAGGCACAGAAACACACUUUUCACCCCUUUAGGGCUAGAUUUGGAGAUGGUGACAACUUUCCUUUUCUCCAUUUUAGGGUUUCUAUCUCUUUCAUUCCAUU